CCCGGCUCACUCUGCUGUCCCGCCGUCCCCAGGUGACUCCUGCUCCUGCGCCGGGUCCUGCAAAUGCAAGAACUGCCGCUGCCGGAGCUGCCGCAAGAGCUGCUGUUCCUGCUGCCCCGCCAGCUGCAGCAACUGCGCCAAGGGCUGCGUGUGCAAGGAGCCGGCCAGCAGCAAGUGCAGCUGCUGCCACUGAGCCGCGCGGCUCCGCUGUAAAUAGCCGGCACGCUUCGGGGGGGGGGCACGGAGAAAAACUACUCCUUUUUUUUUUUUUCCACGUUUUGUAUUUUCUGUACCAGUGGGGAAACUGGAUGGAAAUAAAGGAUUUGUUCUUGAG